rnacentral:lncRNA from 1 species
GACUACUUGAUGAUGGUGGAUGAUGUUUUUGCUGUGUCCUUGGAUUCAGUUUGAAAGGAACAAUAACUUCAGGGCCAAAAGGAACUCCACACAGCCUUUUCUUCAGAGCCAGUAGAACUGUCAGUGUUGACGAACAGCCAGGAUGGCGUAUUGAGAUGCUCAGCACUCUCACGUCCUCUAACCUCCUCCCCAUCCCUGUGUUCGUCAAAGGGCUUUGGCACAGCUCCCUAAGAGGCUAGGACUUGGCAGAGAAUAUGCACACAGUGCCAAGACCUGGUGUCUGACAGGGCUUCACCCCGUGUUGAAGGAAUGGCGACUGUCGCUCUGGAACGCUGGAAUAACUGGGGAGAAACAGACUAGACAGAUGAUCAGGAGAGGAAUUUUCUCAUUCCACGUUGAAAUCCAGGAAAGGCAUAGGCUAAGGUCUGGCACAGUCCCUGGACAACAAAGGACACACUCACAUACCCCACUUAUCCUGGCAUUUGUCCAUCCAUCUCAUAUCCUCAUUUACCUAUCCAUCAUCUAUUCAUGCACACAUGCACACAUGUACCUAUCCGUCCAUCUGUCCAUUCAUCCAUCCAUCCAUCCAUCCAUCAUCCAUCCAUCCAUCCAUCCAUCAUCCAUCCAUCCAUCCAUCCAUCCAUCAUCCAUCCAUCCAUCCAUCCAUCCAUCCAUCCAUCCAUCAUCCAUCCAUCAUCCAUCCAUCCAUCCAUCCAUCAUCCAUCCAUCCAUCCAUCCAUCCAUCCAUCCAUCCAUCCAUCCAUGCAUUCAUCCUUCUACCCAUCUAUCCAACAUGUCUGUGUUAGUUACUUGCUCUAACAAAAAUAUCUGACAAGCAAUUUAAGAAAAGUUCAAGGCAGUACACUCUAUCAUGGCAGGGAAGAUGCGGUGGCAGAAUAUGGUUGGCCGUCCAC